GAGCCUUUACUAUGCUGAUUCAAAAGAACACCAGAGCAUUUUCUAACCUGCACACAACUCUGCUCUGUGGAUGGGAACCCUUCUACCCUCUCCUGCACACAAUCAGUUCAAUCAGUGUAUGCCCCAAAUGGUUCUCAUUAGAUCAUUUUCGAGGGAAUUACCAGGCACAAUUUAGUUGUUUUAACCCUAAGAGAAAGAAAUGUUGGUUUCAGCUGAGUCAGUAUCUGGUAUUUUAACUCACUUAGCUUUCCCUGCAGCACAGUCCAAGGGUGUGCCUUCCUGGACUGAAGGACUUGCACAGACCAGCUCCCUGGUGUGGACCCAUGGUCACUGACGACUGAUUCUGCCCAGGGAUCAAUGGCUUUUUUCUCUCUUGAGAUCCAGCAAGCGUACAACUCCUAGAAGUGUUAUAGAGCAGUGGCCUGGUUUUCUAUUCCAAUCCUGAUCUGCUGAGUUGACAGCUGCAAAGACCCUGUGAUGAACUGGACUUAGCAGAGAGUAUGAGAGGAUCUGAAGCACUCUGUGUCCAGACCAUGACUUCGGAAGUCAUCUGUUUUCCCCACUGGAAGCUUUCAGAAUAUUGUCUUUAUCCUUGGGUUUCUGAAAUUUCACAAUGCUAUAUCUAGAUAUGAGUCUUUUAUCUUUGUCCUGGGAAAUUGGUAGACCUUUUAAUCUGGAAACUUGGUUUUUAACAUCUAGGAAAAUUUCUUGUCUUUAUCCUUGGAUAAUUUCUUGUCUUUAGUUUUCUCUUUUAAAAAGUU